GGCAGCACAGCAGUAGCAAUACUGUGGGUGGCGAGUGGCGGACGGGUGAGUAAUGCAUCGGGACCUACCUAGACGUGGGGGAUAACGUAGGGAAACUUACGCUAAUACCGCAUACGUCCUACGGGAGAAAGCAGGGGACCUUCGGGCCUUGCGCGGUUAGACGGACCGAUGUUCGAUUAGCUAGUUGGUAGGGUAAUGGCCUACCAAGGCGACGAUCGAUAGCUGGUCUGAGAGGAUGAUCAGCCACACUGGAACUGAGACACGGUCCAGACUCCUACGGGAGGCAGCAGUGGGGAAUAUUGGACAAUGGGCGCAAGCCUGAUCCAGCAAUGCCGCGUGUGUGAAGAAGGCCUUCGGGUUGUAAAGCACUUUUAUCAGGAGCGAAACGCUGUCGGCUAAUACCCGGCGGAACUGACGGUACCUGAGGAAUAAGCACCGGCUAACUUCGUGCCAGCAGCCGCGGUAAUACGAAGGGUGCAAGCGUUAAUCGGAAUUACUGGGCGUAAAGCGUGCGUAGGCGGUUUGUUAAGUCUGUUGUGAAAUCCCCGGGCUCAACCUGGGAAUGGCAAUGGAUACUGGCAAGCUAGAGUGUGAUAGAGGAUGGUGGAAUUCCCGGUGUAGCGGUGAAAUGCGUAGAGAUCGGGAGGAACAUCAGUGGCG
rnacentral:rRNA from 1 species